GACGAGAGGAGGGCAGAGCACAGAGGUGGGAGUGAUGCAUGUGGGGGAUGAGAGGAGGGCAGAGCACAGAGGUGGGAGUGAUGCAUGUGGGGGAUGAGAGGAGGGCAGAGCACAGAGGUGGGAGUGAUGCAUGUGGGGGAUGAGAGGAGGGCAGAGCACAGAGGUGGGAGUGAUGCAAGUGGGGGAUGAGAGGAGGGCAGAGCACAGAGGUGGGAGUGAUGCAAGUGGGGGAUGAGAGGAGGGCAGAGCACAGAGGUGGGAGUGAUGCAAGUGGGGGAUGAGAGGAGGGCAGAGCACAGAGGUGGGAGUGAUGCAAGUGGGGGAUGAGAGGAGGGCAGAGCACAGAGGUGGGAGUGAUGCAAGUGGGGGAUGAGAGGAGGGCAGAGCACAGAGGUGGGAGUGAUGCAAGUGGGGGAUGAGAGGAGGGCAGAGCACAGAGGUGGGAGUGAU